ACGGGUGAGUAAUGUCUGGGAAACUGCCUGAUGGAGGGGGAUAACUACUGGAAACGGUAGCUAAUACCGCAUAACGUCGCAAGACCAAAGAGGGGGACCUUCGGGCCUCUUGCCAUCAGAUGUGCCCAGAUGGGAUUAGCUAGUAGGUGGGGUAACGGCUCACCUAGGCGACGAUCCCUAGCUGGUCUGAGAGGAUGACCAGCCACACUGGAACUGAGACACGGUCCAGACUCCUACGGGAGGCAGCAGUGGGGAAUAUUGCACAAUGGGCGCAAGCCUGAUGCAGCCAUGCCGCGUGUAUGAAGAAGGCCUUCGGGUUGUAAAGUACUUUCAGCGGGGGGGAAGGUGUUGCGGUUAAUAACCGCAGCAAUUGACGUUACCCGCAGAAGAAGCACCGGCUAACUCCGUGCCAGCAGCCGCGGUAAUACGGAGGGUGCAAGCGUUAAUCGGAAUUACUGGGCGUAAAGCGCACGCAGGCGGUCUGUCAAGUCGGAUGUGAAAUCCCCGGGCUCAACCUGGGAACUGCAUUCGAAACUGGCAGGCUAGAGUCUUGUAGAGGGGGGUAGAAUUCCACGUGUA
rnacentral:rRNA from 1 species